UUAUCCUUUGUUGCCAGCACAUUAUGGUGGGAACUCAAAGGAGACUGCCGGUGAUAAACCGGAGGAAGGUGGGGAUGACGUCAAGUCAUCAUGGCCCUUACGAGUAGGGCUACACACGUGCUACAAUGGCGUAUACAAAGAGAAGCGACCUCGCGAGAGCAAGCGGAACUCAUAAAGUACGUCGUAGUCCGGAUUGGAGUCUGCAACUCGACUCCAUGAAGUCGGAAUCGCUAGUAAUCGUAGAUCAGAAUGAUACGGUGAAUACGUUCCCGGGCCUUGUACACACCGCCCGUCACACCAUGGGAGUGGGUUGCAAAAGAAGUAGGUAGCUUAACCUUCGGGAGGGCGCUUACCACUUUGUGAUUCAUGACUGGGGUGAAGUCGUAACAAGGUAACCA
rnacentral:rRNA from 1 species